rnacentral:rRNA from 1 species
AUUGAACGCUGGCGGCAUGCCUUACACAUGCAAGUCGAACGGUAACAGGUCUUCGGAUGCUGACGAGUGGCGAACGGGUGAGUAAUACAUCGGAACGUGCCCGAUCGUGGGGGAUAACGAAGCGAAAGCUUUGCUAAUACCGCAUACGAUCUACGGAUGAAAGCAGGGGACCGCAAGGCCUUGCGCGAACGGAGCGGCCGAUGGCAGAUUAGGUAGUUGGUGGGGUAAAGGCCUACCAAGGCGACGAUCCGUAACUGGUCUGAGAGGAUGAUCAGUCACACUGGAACUGAGACACGGUCCAGACUCCUACGGGAGGCAGCAGUGGGGAAUAUUGGACAAUGGGCGAAAGCCUGAUCCAGCCAUGCCGCGUGUGUGAAGAAGGUCUUCGGAUUGUAAAGCACUUUAAGUUGGGAGGAAGGGCAGUAAGUUAAUACCUUGCUGUUUUGACGUUACCAACAGAAUAAAGCACCGGCUAACUUCGUGCCAGCCGCCGCAG